rnacentral:rRNA from 1 species
UACGAGGGGAGCUAGCGUUGUUCGGAAUUAUGCUAGGGCGUAAAGCGUGCGCUAGGCGGCUUGCAAGACAGAUGUGAAAUCCCCGGGCUCAACCUGGGAACUGCAUUUGUGGACUGCAUGGCUAGGAGUACGGUAGAGGGGGAUGGAAUUCCGCGUGUAGCAGUGAAAUGCGUAGAUAUGCGGAGGAACACCGAUGGCGAAGGCAAUCCCCGUGGACCUGUACUGACGCUCAUGACACGAAAGGCGUGGGGAGCAAACGAGG